AUUGAACGCUGGCGGAAUGCUUUACACAUGCAAGUCGAACGGCAGCACGGGGCAACCUGGUGGCGAGUGGCGAACGGGUGAGUAAUACAUCGGAACGUGCCCAAUCGUGGGGGAUAACGUAGCGAAAGUUACGCUAAUACCGCAUACGAUCUACGGAUGAAAGCGGGGGAUCGCAAGACCUCGCGCGAAUGGAGCGGCCGAUGUCAGAUUAGGUAGUUGGUGGGGUAAAGGCUCACCAAGCCGACGAUCUGUAGCUGGUCUGAGAGGACGACCAGCCACACUGGGACUGAGACACGGCCCAGACUCCUACGGGAGGCAGCAGUGGGGAAUUUUGGACAAUGGGCGCAAGCCUGAUCCAGCCAUUCCGCGUGCAGGAUGAAGCCU
rnacentral:rRNA from 1 species